rnacentral:rRNA from 1 species
GACGAACGCUGGCGGCGUGCCUAAUACAUGCAAGUCGAGCGGACUGAAUGGGAGCUUGCUCUUGUUCGGUCAGCGGCGGACGGGUGAGUAACACGUGGGCAACCUGCCCGCAAGACCGGGAUAACUCCGGGAAACCGGAGCUAAUACCGGAUAACACCGAAGACCGCAUGGUCUUUGGUUGAAAGGCGGCGCAAGCUGCCACUUGCGGAUGGGCCCGCGGCGCAUUAGCUAGUUGGUGAGGUAACGGCUCACCAAGGGGACGAUGCGUAGCCGGCCUGGGAGGGUGACCGGCCACACUGGGACUGGGACACGGCCCAGGCCCCUACGGGGGGCAGCAGUAGGGAAUCUUCCGACAAGGGGGAAAGCCUGACGGAGCGACGCCGCGUGGGCGAAGAAGGCCGUCGGGUCGUGAAGCUCUGUUGUGAGGGACGAAGGAGCGCCGUUUGAAGAAGGCGGCGCGGUGACGGUACCUCAAGAGGAAGCCCCGGCUAACUACGUG